rnacentral:rRNA from 1 species
CCCUUAGAUGUUCUGGGCCGCACGCGUGCUACACUGAGUGGAUCAGCGGGUCAGGUUGCGCGAAAGUGUUCCUAAUCUUGAAAUCCGCUCGUGAUGGGGAUUGACGGUUGCAAUUUUCCGUCAUGAACGAGGAAUACCUUGUAAGCGCGGGUCAUCAUCCCGCGCUGAAUACGUCCCUGCCCUUUGUACACACCGCCCGUCGCUCCUACCGAUUGAGUGGUCCGGUGAGGCUUUGGGAUCUGAGCGGAAAGAGCGUUUCGCUGUUUCUGCUCGGAAAACUCAGUCGAACCUUAUCAUUUAGAGGAAGGAGAAGUCGUAACA